rnacentral:rRNA from 1 species
GGUGAGUAAUAUAUCGGAACGUGCCCAGGUCUGGGGGAUAACGUAGCGAAANCUACGCUAAUACCGCAUACGAUCUAUGGAUGAAAGCGGGGGAUCGCAAGACCUCGCGCGAUUGGAGCGGCCGAUAUCAGAUUAGGUAGUUGGUGAGGUAAAGGCUCACCAAGCCGACGAUCUGUAGCUGGUCUGAGAGGACGACCAGCCACACUGGGACUGAGACACGGCCCAGACUCCUACGGGAGGCAGCAGUGGGGAAUUUUGGACAAUGGGCGCAAGCCUGAUCCAGCAAUGCCGCGUGCAGGAUGAAGGCCUUCGGGUUGUAAACUGCUUUUGUACGGAACGAAACGGUGAGCUCUAAUACAGUUUGCUAAUGACGGUACCGUAAGAAUAAGCACCGGCUAACUACGUG